ACUGCUGCUGCUUUUGCUGCUGCUUUCUCUCCUCCCCUUUCCCUCUGUCUUCUUUUGCGUGCACUCAGUUUCUCCCCCUUGUCUCCUCCCCACCCCCACCCCGACUACUGCUGCCCUUACCCUGUGCACCCUGUGGAAGGAAAGAAGGAAAGAAAAAAAGAAAGAAAAAGACAGAAAGAGAAAGAAAGAAAGGAAGAACCGGUCCGAAUCCCUCUUUGAAGAUUUUUACAUCGAAAGAAGGGGAACAUGUGCUUCAUAGAGAAAGUGUAGAAGACUGAAAGAAGAACGUCCAUAAGAGAUCAUGAGACAUGCAAAAAUCAUUAGCACAGGAGAAAGAUCAUUAAACUCAAUGAAGAAUACAAUGAAGAAUACAAAAAUUAAUAAGGAAUGUCUUGCCCUUCUGGUGAACUCUAUCAGAUUAUGAUAAGGGAAGAAGACACAAAUAAUCCAAGAUCAUGGAAGAAUAAGAAAGGCACAGGGGCAAAAUUUCACCUAGUUCUGAAGUCCAUGAAGCCAGUAGUCCAAUAACCAAAGACAAAAAGCCAGCUCCUCGGUGAACCAAGGAGAUGGUGUGUCUCGACGCAACGUGAUGGGGUGUUCGGGAGUGAUCGUGUUAAUCACCCUGGACAUUUCGCUAUUAUAGCUAUCAACCAGGGUGUCAACAGGAUUGCCAGGCUCCAGGACAGGAAGAGCCCCAAGAUUCCUCAGAAAUCCGUCCACAACCAUCAGUCUCCUGGGGCGGACCAUCUUAGUUGGUCCUCCACCUCUGUGAAGGUUAGUGGUUACAGCAAGUCUAAAACUGAUCAAAUGAUGGUCUGUUUGGACUCUCUUGUGACAGCUCAAUCGGUCUUAGCAGAGCCUGAGUUUCCCAGCAUUGGCUCCUUCUAAACAUAGAAAAACUGAUAAGAAAGAACCACCUCCAAGGCAAAGAUCAACCAGUCAAUGAUGAUUAUCUUUUGUGACCCAUCUGAAGCUAAUCAUGAUACUCAUAAAAUAUCUUGCAGGAGACUGUUGUAGUUCAGCGUGUUGGUCGAGUUGCUACUCCUGGUAGCAGGGAGAACGGGUCUACUUUGGA